UACGUAGGGGGCAAGCGUUGUCCGGAUUUAUUGGGCGUAAAGAGCGUGUAGGCGGCUGGGUAGGUCUGCUGUGAAAACUCGAGGCUCAACCUCGAGACGUCGGCGGAAACCCUCCAGCUAGAGUCCGGAAGAGGAGAGUGGAAUUCCUGGUGUAGCGGUGAAAUGCGCUGAUAUCAGGAAGAACACCCGUGGCGAAAGCGGCUCUCUGGGACGGUACUGACGCUGAGACGCGAAAGCGUGGGGAGCGAACAGG
rnacentral:rRNA from 1 species